CGCACCACGACCGCUUAUCCAUUCCCAUCCACCACCGCCGGGCACGCGCCGCCACGCGCAGCCGUUUGCCAGGAGCCAAGGAGGCGGGCGUACGCGUUGCCCGACCCCGGGAAGGGGGCGAGGCGUCGCGGUUGGCGUUGGCGAAUCCAUUCCCAGCGGCGGCGGCUUCCGGCGAGGAGGCGAGCGAGCUCGGGGAGCUCCGGCGGGGACUUGUCGUCGGUGAGGCGAGGACGAGGCGGCGGCGCGCGGGCUCGAGGAGGCGAGGUUGAUGAGGCGCAGGAGGACGCCGGCCGGUGGCGCUCCGGCGGGGGCUUGGCGAGGGCGACGGCGGCGGCCGGCGUGCUCGCUUGGGAGGAUGGAGGCUGCCUCGCCGGGGCUCGGGCGCGGCAGCACGGUGUCGGGCCGUUGCCGAUGGCGCCGGGGCCGGGGCGGUGGUUUGACGGGCGACGAGGAGGAGGUGCUGUCCUGGAGCCAGCGACGGCGGCUGCAGCUUGACGAUGCGGACGUCAACAGCUUGCUUCAGGGGCUGCGGGCGGUGAAUGGCGUUGUGCUCGCGCGCGAGACCCGUGUCUGAUUUGGAAAGAAUCAAUCCGUGGAAGAAGAAGGCCAAUGCAACUGCUCUCUAGCUAGGCACUGGAGUAUCUGCACCCCCAAUGGAAUGGUACGAAUUGCUGCUGGUACUGAACAUUGACAGGUAAAACUUAGCAUAUCCAGAAAUACAUCAUUAUAAGCUACUUCCAUAGAUGCAUCUAGAUCAUAGCAUCUGAACUUGAGGAUAGCAGACAAAAAUUCAAACAGAAAGAAAGCUACGCUCCAUAUUGUGUUCUUUAUAUGCCAUAUCGAAUAACAUGUUCAUAUUUGAUUGGUUUCUUCACAGUAGCGCAUGGACGAUAAAUAUCCCUAUUUUGAUAUAUUUCUAUGCGAUGAUUUAUCUAUUGCCACUGUUUUUGAAUUAUUUUCGUCCAUAAAUCAUGCGACUCAAGUCAAUUUGAGAUCGAAUUUGUUCAUGAGGUCAAGACUGAACCUUGCGACAGCUCCAAGUUAACAUACAUCCAUACUGAAUUUUCUUGUCAUAAUUGUAAAGACUGUCUAUGUAUUUUUGUGACAGCAACGUGGGGUUUUUAAUUGGUAUUGUGCUUGAAACAAAGUUGCAUGAUACAUAUUUCCUACAAUCAUUUUGAAAGGUUUGCCCCCUUUAUAGGUUAUAAGGUAGGUCCUAUAUUCUUGGCAGAUAUUGUAUGACCGCCUAUUCAGAGUAUUUCGCCCUUGAUUGCGUAGAUAUUAUCUUACAGAUAACCUUUGACUUCUCGAUGAACUCUGUACUGUCAGUAUUUGUGCACAAUGCACAUUCUGAAACUUACAACUAUUAGUGAUCAAUGAGAUAAGAGUACUUGAUCCUCGAUUCUUAAACUAUCAUCUGACUCAUAACCAUGUACUACUCGGUGAACUCUAUAUAUCUAUCAGUAGUUGGAAGCACUACAAAGCAGUGUCAAAUUCAGUACUAUAUGUACAUGAGUUUGCUGAUUUCAGGCAAGCAACAACAAACAGACUUUGUUGUUUUCAGUCUAAUGAGAUAUUUGUUGGGCAUCACUAAGGAACACCAGCAAAGGCGUGAAGAGAUACUUGAAAUCAGCGAUGGAUUUACUCUGAAUUUUUUCCUGUCCUGGAACAUUAACUGGAUUGAUUCAUGGAUGCAGUGUGACAUGUCGUGUGAGAUGAAGGUGGCAAACCAUCCAAACUUGAAGCCAAGCAUGUGGUGGAUCCGCCAUGGAUGAUGGAUGGACCGGUGAGUGUAGAAGUUUGAGCUGUGAAACUUUGUGCAAUCGAGCUCCUGGUGUAAUUAAGCAUAUGGCUUUUGUGAUGUGUAAUGUAGGUAGUGAUUGCCUAUAUUUCUUUCCUUCUUAAAUUUGUUGUAAUAAGGUUAUCCUUUGCAGAAGGAAGAUUGAACCGCCUUUUGGUUUAGGUAGAAGCACCCAUUGAUGUUUUCCAAUUCUUUGUAUUCAUUCUAUUAUGUGCUAUAAUAGUUAAUUGCAUAUAUAUGUACUAUGUUUGGAUAUUCUCACGCAACAUCUAUGUACAACAGAUGCAGAUUUUCAGAA